AUAACUGGCCGCAACCGGGACAUGUGGAAGGUGGGGUUGACCCUCAUGUACCGGGGCAGCUAUAGACGAUUCAAGACUGGAUUGACCCGCCUCUCCACUUUGAAUGAACCCACAAAGCAAGGCACCAGCUUCUGGUUCUCCACUCUCAAGGGAAGGUCAUUGGCAGACAGCCAAACCCUCUGCUCAGGGCGGAAAGAUGGAGCAGGUCUGUGCCGUCAGUUCACCUGGACCUGGUCCCUCUUGGAGGCUCCGAGCAGAGCUUGUCGGGCCCUUCUCCAAGUCCGCUUACACCUCCGUGCAAAACUCAGGGCUGAAGGGACACUAGAAUCCUCCUCCUGCUUAGGAAACAAGAGAGGCUUAUAACCAAACAGACAUUCAAAUGGAGACAUACCAGUGGAGCUGCACCUGAGAGUGUUGUGGGCAUAUUCUGCCCAUGGAAGGUGGGUACUCCAGGAGGCUGGAUUAGCUGACACUAGACAUUUCAGGGUGGCCUCCAGGUCUUGAUUCAGUCUUUCUGUCUGCCCAUUCGACUGUGGGUGAAAGCCGGAUGAUUGACUGACGGUGGCGUCAAUGAGCUUGCAGAAUGCCUGCCAGAAGCUGGAGGUGAACUGGGGUCCACGAUCAGAGACGAUGUCCUGGGGAAGAUAAAAAACUCAGACAUGUUCACACAUUAGUCUAGCAGUUUUGGCAGCAGAGGGAAGCUUGGGUAGGGGCAGAAAAUGUCAGGUUUUAGAGAAUCUGUCUAUUACAACAAGAAUAACUGUGUUACCUUGGGAUGGAGAUAAGCUCGUAAUGAAGUCCAAGGAGAUGUGUGGCCAUGGUCUUCAAGGGAUCAGUAAGGGAUGGAGGAUGCCCGGAGUACUCUGAUGUGGAUCGUUGCUCCGGGCAUAAACUGAACAAGCUGCCACAAAUGUUUUAACAUCCUUCUCCAUGCUGGGCCACCAGAACUGGUGUUGGAGAAACUCCAGAGUUCAUAAGGAUCCUGGAUGCGCUGUUAGUUGUGAAGCGUGACCCCACUGGAGAACCUUAGCUCGAAUAGACUUAGGGAUAUAAAACCAGUUGGUGGGCCCAGAACUUGGACCAGGCUCAUUCUUAAGGGCUCACAGUACUGCCGUAAAAAUGCCCCAACGGACUGGUGCCACGACUCUGGAGCUGGGUAGAAUGGGCUCGGGCUGGAUCUCAGGAGAAUCUGAGAGAAACUGUUGGGAUAGGUCAUUGGGCUUCUGAUUCUUGAUCCCUGGAUGGUAAGAAAGGGUAAAGUCAAACCUGUUGAAGAACAGAGCCCAGCAUGCCUUGGACUGAGCCGUUUGGCCUGUUGGAUGUAUUCCAGAUUCCUGUGAUCAGUCCAGACUAAGAAAGGAUGUUCAGCUUCUUCCAACUGAUGACUCCACUCCUCAAGCACCAAUUUUAGAGCCAGUAAUUCCUAGUUCCCUAUAUCGUAAUUUCUCUCCGUGGCUGUAAGCUUGCGGGAGAAGAAUGCACAGGGAUGUAGUUUCCCAUCACUUGCAGUCUGUAACAGAACUGCUCCUACUCCCACAUCAGAAGCAUCCACCUCCACAAUGAAGGGUCGAUCUGGCUCGGGCAGACAGAGAAUGGAAGCUGUGGUGAAUUUUUGUUUGAGGAUAUUAAAGGCCUUGUCUGCCUCAGGGGACCAAGAAAAGGGCACCUUAUCUUUUCAUGUCAAAGCAGAAAUUGGAGCAGCAAUGGAACUAAAACCCAGAAUAAAACAAUGAUAAAAAUUUGCAAGGCCCAGGAACCUUUGGGUUUCCUUAACUGAACUCGGGCUUGGCCAGUCUCAAACAGCUUGGACUUUCCCAGGAUCCAUCUGAACGCUACCUUCAGAAAUGAUGAACUCAAGGAAGGCCACCUCCUCGACAUGAAAGUCAUAUUUCUCUGGCAUUACAAAUAGACCAUUCUUCAAUAGAUGGCUCAAAACCUGGCGAACAUGUUGGACAUACUCAUGUAAGUUCUUGGAAAAGAUCAAAUUCUCAAGGUACACAAAGACGUAUUGAUUUAACUUGUCCCUAAGGACAUCAUUCAUAAGAGCCUGGAAGACAGCUGGUGUGUUGGUGAGGCCAAAGGGCAUAACCUGGCAUUCAUAGUGCCUGGGAGACGUGUUAAAGGCUGUCUUCCAUUCAUCACCUUGUCAGAUUGAUAACAGAUGGUAGGCCUUUCGCAAGUCCAACUUUGUAAAGAUGGUGGCACCUUCAAGAAGUUCAAAAGCAGAGGCCAUGAGGGGUAGCGAGUAUCGGUUCCAGAUAGUGAUCUUGUUUAGACCUCAAUAAUCUAUGCAAGGCUGAAGACCUUCAUCUUUCUUCCCUAUGAAGAAGCCAGCCCCAGCAGGUGAAGAUGAGGGAUGGAUGAAACCUGAUGCCAGAGCCUCCUUGAUGUAACUGUCCAUAGCCUGUCGUUCAGGGGCAGACAAAGAAAAGAUGCGGCCUCUUGUAAGUGAGGUACCUGGCAGCAGGUCAAUGGCACAGCUGUAGGGCCUAUGAGGUGGGAGGGCCGUUGCUUUCUUCUUGAUGAACACUUCCUGCAAGUCAUGGUACUGAGAGGGGACUUGGGAUAAUUUGGGAGGUGACAAGGGCUCGGAACACUGAACAGGUUGACGUUAGAGGCAGGGAGUGUGACAGGCAGGGCCCCACUUGAUUACAAAACAUGUAGACCAGUCUAGGUGUGGGUUAUAGAGCUUUAACCAAGGAAACCCUAACACCAUUGAAUACCCUGGAGACUGGAUGAGGUGGAAGGACAUCUCUUCACAAUGUUAUCAAUCAGGACUCUCAGUGUAACAGUUCUCCGAUGAACACAACCAUCACCCAGGGGUCAACCAACCAAGGCUGGUCCAGAAAGGGAAGAAUCCAGGCUGGUGGUGGGGAUUGACAGAUGCUCAGCAAGGGAAGAGUUCAUAAAAUUACCUGCUGCCCCUGAAUCCACAAAAGCUCUAAGAGAGUGCUCCUGACCACCCCAGGCAAUGGAAAUUGUAAGGAAGAGACUGGCAACAGGUAGAUGAGGAGAGGAAGUCACCCCUGUCACAGCCCUCCUAAUGCUGGAUGGGGUUUGGCUUUUCCCACUAACUCUGGGCAGUAACUUCGGACAUGGCCUGGUGCACCGCAGUAGAGGCAGCAACGUUCCCUCAUCCAUCUGUCACGUUCAGUCUGGGAAAGCCGUGUGGCCCCCCCCACUUGCAUCUGCUCAGGGCCAUUCUCCACAGCAAAGGCAGCCAGAUAUAGGGGAACCUGAGCCACCACAAUGGAUGAACUGGCCCCAAUUGCAGAGAGACACACAAUCACAAGAAGGUAGCUGCAGAACUUUACUUUAGAUCUGGCAAAUUCCAAAUAAUGCAGGUUUUGCACCAAACAGGUCCCAUAUGAGGUCAGUAACAGAAAAAUUCACAAAAGGAAGUCGAAACAGGCAACACGUUAACCAGUCCAAAGAGCACUUUGCAGGAAAAACAGGCCAAAGGCAAAUACACAGAAGAUAAAAAAAAAGACAGACAAGAUUCCAGAAACUGAGAGCAGCAAAAGGAGCACUAAGAAACUUAGGCACAGUGUCAAAAUAGCAGUCAAAAGGUCUCAAACUCAAGGCUUACAUUCUCAGGAGCACAGCAGACUGUUGAACUCAGCAAGGAGCACAAGGCUAGGCACACAAUAUAUACCUCCAUGCUAACUAGACACAGGUGUAAGCAAUUAGCAGAAUAGACACAAAUGAAGGCACCAAUAUACAAGGAGAAAACAAAUGGGCAAAAUGGGUACAUCUAGUGGUGGAAGAAAGGUACUGCAACAUCUGAAAAAGUUCCAAAUCCUGACAGACACAAGGAGAGACACAGGUUCAGGGAGUGGAUUUUGGGGAGUUGGCCCCCAUUUCAGUGGGGCUGGGGAAGGAAAGGGGUGAAGAAAAAGAGAGAGAGAGCAAUAGAGACAAAGAGAGAGAGAGAGAGACUGGUCCAGUCAGCAUGUACUCUAGCAGUCGCUCUUGCAGCCAGUGUUCCCAUCCAGCUGGUCAAGAUGGGGCUGCAGGAUAACCCAGAAGCCUAUGUUGAGCUGUUUGAGCAUGUCGCGGACCUCACAGUGGGUGGCCCGUCUAUUGCCACUCCUGUCAGGGGAAGCCCAGCUUGGGGCCUGGCAGCUUCCAAUCACCAGCAUGCUGAAGUACCUGGACCUGAAGCAGGUUCUACUACAUCUGAAGUGGCCUACUGCAGCAGGUUGGCCAUGCACCGGAAGAGCAUUGCCAGCACUUCCAUGCGAUUGCAUACAGCAGAGUCUGCCACUCGUUUGCUUUCACUCAAUGGUUCUGAGAUGCCUGCAGAUGGUGGUUGAUGACUGGUGAGUGCUAUGCCAAGAACAUUGUCAAUUGAGUGGCACUGGAGCAGUUCAUUGCACAGCUGGCGAUUGAAACCUUUUCAUGGAUCCAGUGUCACUGUGCUGUGUCAUUGGAAGAGGUGGUUUGGCUGGCAAAAGAUCACCUGAUGGGGUUUCGGGGAGCAAGUGCUCCUUUCUCUCUCUCUUUAUCCCUUACCCUCUCCUUAUCUCUCUCUUAGCUCCUCCCCUACCCCAGCCCCAUGGAAAUGGGGGUGAACUACCUCAAAAUCUGCUCCCCAAACCCAUAUCUCUCCUUGUGUCUUUACAACCCCCUCUUCUUCUGUGUCUGUGUGACUGCUAACCCCCUCUCUCCACAGGUGGACCCAUCUCUGCUCUCCAGAACAGGGGGAAGCCUGGGAAGGUCCAUAGGCACGACAAGAAGGCUGGACGGUUCCAGUAUCAGCACUUCCGCAAAUAGAUGGCCAGUAGCCAGAGAGAGAGAGAACUAAGCUGCCGAGCGCCAUGGUUGUGUGUGUGCGUGCGUGCAUUAAAGUCACUCAAAAGUGAAAGCAACCAAAGAAUAAAAUGCAUCUUGACUUCUCAA